UACGGGGGGGGCAAGCGUUGUUCGGAAUUACUGGGCGUAAAGGGCUCGUAGGCGGCCAACUAAGUCAGACGUGAAAUCCCCAGGCUCAACCUGGGAACUGCGUCUGAUACUGGAUGGCUUGAAUCCGGGAGAGGGAUGCAGAAUUCCAGGUGUAGCGGUGAAAUGCGUAGAUAUCGGGAGGAACACCAGUAGCGAAGGCGGCUCGCUGGGCCGUUCCUGACGCUGAGACGCGAAAGCUAGGGGAUCGAACAGG
rnacentral:rRNA from 1 species